UACGUAGGGCGCAAGCGUUGUCCGGAAUUGAUUGGCGUAAAGAGCUCGUAGGCGGUUUGUCGCGUCUGCUGUGAAAACCCGCGGCUCAACUGCGGGCCUGCAGCCGAUACGGGCAGGCUAGAGUUCGGUAGGGGAGACUGGAAUUCCUGGUGUAGCGGUGAAAUGCGCAGAUAUCAGGAGGAACACCGGUGGCGAAGGCGGCAUCCUGGACCGGUAUUGACGCUGAGGAGCGAAAGCCAGGGGAGGCAAACGGG
rnacentral:rRNA from 1 species